UAGGGAAUCUUCGGCAAUGGACGAAAGUCUGACCGAGCAACGCCGCGUGAGUGAAGAAGGUUUUCGAAUCGUAAAACUCUGUUGGUAGAGAAGAACGUUGGUGAGAGUGGAAAGCUCAUCAAGUGACGGUGACUACCCAGAAAGGGACGGCUAACUACGUGUCAG
rnacentral:rRNA from 1 species